AGCUCUGGUCUCCAGUAUAUUGGCAAAUUUGGUUCUUUGUACUUAAUUUAUUAGCAGGAUUUCUUUUUAAUAUGUUGUGUACAGACUUAAUUACUUCUCUGUCUACUUUACUUACUCCAUGUAGGUUUACCAGAGACUAUGGGUUGAGGAGGAAUUGGAAGUUUGUCGGCUUAGACCUGGUGUCAUUCCAUCAGUGUUAAACUUCCCGGCUCAUCUUGGAAGAGUACGUGCCAGAAAGACUACAACCAAGCAGCCUUGAGAUCUUAGGCAGCAUCUCCCUCAGGUCCCUCUCUAUCUCCCCACACAUCCACCAACCACUGGAACACAUCUCCAAAGUUCUGCUGGACCAGCUCAGCUUCCCCUCAGAAGAAGUGCCGCCACCUGCCAGAUGAAGGAGCCUUUUGAGAGGCAACUGGCAUCGUGAUUGGACUGUACUGUGGUCUGUUCCAAUCCAGCUUCAGCUCCAGAGACGGCAGGCGGGACGAGUCAGCGGAGGCCGGGUGGACGAAGGCAUGAAGCUGAGUACAAUCCAGAAAACAACAGAGGAGGAGUGCAGCAGCCAGAACGACCAGAGUAGCAUCGUAUGUCUCUUAGAAAACAUCAUAGUAUAGCCUUUGGUAUGAAAAAACGCCAUCAUAUACAUUGUAUAUUGUACAAAUAACAAGUCAAAGGAAAGAGACAUCAACUGUAGAAUUGUAGUAAUUGUGGGCUGACUGAUUUACUGAUUGUCAGUAUUUUAUUUUUUACUGAUUUAGGGUAAUAAAUACAUUUAAAAAUGG